GAUGAACGCUGGCGGCGUGCCUAAUACAUGCGAGUCGAGCGAACAGACGAGGAGCUUGCUCCUCUGACGUUAGCGGCGGACGGGUGAGUAACACGUGGAUAACCUACCUAUAAGACUGGGAUAACUUCGGGAAACCGGAGCUAAUACCGGAUAAUAUAUUGAACCGCAUGGUUCAAUAGUGAAAGACGGUUUUGCUGUCACUUAUAGAUGGAUCCGCGCCGCAUUAGCUAGUUGGUAAGGUAACGGCUUACCAAGGCGACGAUGCGUAGCCGACCUGAGGGGGUGAUCGGCCACACUGGAACUGAGACGCGGUCCAGACUCCUACGGGAGGCAGCAGUAGGGAAUCUUCCGCAAUGGGCGGAAGCCUGACGGAGCAACGCCGCGUGAGUGAUGAAGGUCUUCGGAUCGUAAAACUCUGUUAUUAGGGAAGAACAAAUGUGUAAGUAACUAUGCACGUCUUGACGGUACCUAAUCAGAAAGCCACGGCUAACUACGUG
rnacentral:rRNA from 1 species